rnacentral:tRNA from 1 species
GGUUGUAGCUCAGGGGUAGAGCACUUGCCUCACAUAUUUGAGGCCCUGGGUUCAAUCCCCAGCACCA